rnacentral:lncRNA from 1 species
UCCUUUUGGUCAUUAGAGCCAAUGAAAACAUUUGCAAACUAUUUCACUAUAGCAUACUAAUGAGAGAAAUAGUUGCAUAAGAAAAAAAGUAAGAUCAAUAGGUAAAUAGACAUACUAUAAACAGUACAAUAAGUAGUAUCACAUUCCUAAGUUUGUUCAUGUGUUUGUUAAUACAAAAGUGCAUUAAGGAUCUAGUACAUGCCAAGCAUUGCGAAGCACUGGAAAUACACAUUUUUGUGUGGUGAAAACAAAAUCACUGCAAAACAAUAAUAAUCAAAAAGAGUAAAUUGACAACCACUCAUUUUAUAUACUUUAGCAACAAUCCAUAUAUUCUUGGGCCGGGCCCUGUGCUAGAAAACAGAGCUAUGAUUAUUAAAUAAGACUCUGUUCCUGACCCUGAGUGACUCAGUUUAGCUAGGGAGACCAGCAUAGCAGUAAUCAUCUACAAGUUAAAGUAUUAGAGCUAAUAAUAAAAAGUUAACAUUUAUUGCUUACUCACUCAUGUAUCAAGUACUGUGUUACAUGAGCACAUGUAUGUGUGUUUUAAAAGCCUCAUAACCUAAUUACUAUUUCCAUCUUAUACAUACAUCAGGGAAAACUGAAGUACGAAGAAAUUAACUAACCUGUCUGAAGUCACACUGCUAGUAAGUGAUGGAGCCAGGAUUGAUUCCAGGCCUGACUCCAGGCCUGAUUCCAGAUCCCAAGCUCCUAUUACACUGUACUAAAUAAUAACACUGGGAGCAAAAAUGAGACAGCCAUUUUGCUCAUGAGAUCUAGAAAAUUUCACUGAGGAUAUAAUAUCUAAGGUAGGUCUGCAUAUGAUGAGCCUUCCAGGUAGAUAAUGAAGAGUGUCUAGACAGAAAACACAACAUCAGCAAAGUCAGACAGCCUGCAAAGUGUGCACUGGCACUAUGGUAUAGCUAGCACAGAAGCUGCAAAAAGGGUAGGGUUGGUAAUGAGGCUGGAAAGACAGGCAGAAAUCAGGUUGUUAAAAAUCUUAUAUGCUAGCUUAAGGAACUUCAAUUCAAUAACAACCAAUACUGUCUACUAUUACAUGCCUACUCUGUGCCAGGCAUUGAAGUGUAUAUGACAAUGAGCUGGGAACAAACAGUAUUUGCCUUCAGUGGACUUACGUUUGGUAGUGAGGUGAUAUAGGUAAAUUAAGUAGGCAAUUACAACACUCGGCUACCACAGAGCAAAGUAAAGAUUUUGGGUUUCUUUUUCCUGUGAGUGCACAAAGGAAGGGCACCUGGCCGGGCGCGGUGGCUCACCCACAAGUUCUGGAAUUUUAAGCCAAAAAUAUAAUCUAUUUCAACACUCAAUGGCAUUACUCAACAGAGAUGACUCCACUGGUACAGAAUUAUAUAAAUGAGUGUGACCUCCCAAAAUAAUCCAAUAAUAAUUACAAUUUAAACUGAGAUACUAAAAAUGAAGGAAUAUGCCAGUGAACAAAGUUUUAGUUUUCAAAAGGAAAUCACCUUAUUUUCAUGACUAAGAAAAACAAUUACAUUCAUGCAUUCCCUUUUGGUUUGGCACCUCAACUAUGAACAUGUCCUUUGACUUAAGAUUAAUUAUGCUUUAU